rnacentral:lncRNA from 1 species
ACUGACCCAUUUCUCUUUUUAGUUAAGCCUUUUUAAUCACCACAUUACUUUGGCUCUGUGAAUAGGCAGUUUUCCAUAAGCAAGGUGGGAAGGGAACAUAAUUUCCUUGAAUUAGUGUCUUAAACUAGAAAUGGUGGUGUUCUCAUGAAGAAAAGGCCUACUUUUGGCCCAACCUCUAUCAUAUCAGUGAACCUUGGGGGAAGGAAAAAAAAAAAAAAACACUAAGAAAUUCACAGCCAGGAGUUAGGUUAUCAUCCCAUUCAUUGUUCUCUACUUAUGGGUGUCAAACAGAGAAGGUUUUGUUGUAUAAAAACACUUUACUUUCUCAAUCUCUCCCAUUUCUACUUAAGUCAACUUUCAUUUUCUCUUAAUAAUAUUUCCUUUCCUGAAACAAGAAAAUAUGAAAGAAAAAGGAAUGUCAUUCCUUCCUGACAUUCUUACUCCUCCUUCUUUGGUAUCAUGAACUUCUUGAAGCCCAAUCACCAGUGUCUUAAGUACCCCAAUUAAAUGGUCAUGGAUAGACUUCAUUUUGAAAAUGCAUUGUUAAAGGCAUAAAUGACUCAUUCCUCUGUGGAUCACUACUAAUUAACUAAUUGUCCAUAAAUACACACACACACACACACACACACAUAAAAUCUUCAGUGCUGUGCUGAGAAUUAAAGCCCCUUUGUUCACUGAUUGAAAAUGGAUCUCCAAGAUGGAACGUCAUUCAUUCUACUGAGGAGAAGGAGUAUCUCUAGGACCAUCCCCUUGUGAUACUCUGCACACUUGAGUCAAACUUGAUGUAUAGAUGUCUAUCUGAAGCUACCCCAGUGGGGGAUGAUGACAUAUGGAUAGCUAAAACCUAAAGGAUGUUUGUGAUUU